UACGGGGGGGGCAAGCGUUGUUCGGAAUUACUGGGCGUAAAGCGCACGUAGGCGGACAGGGAAGUUGGGGGUGAAAUCCCGGGGCUCAACCCCGGAACUGCCUCCAAAACUCCCUGUCUGGAGGAUGAGAGAGGCGAGUGGAAUUCCGAGUGUAGAGGUGAAAUUCGUAGAUAUUCGGAGGAACACCAGUGGCGAAGGCGGCUCGCUGGCUCAUUUCUGACGCUGAGGUGCGAAAGCGUGGGGAGCAAACAGG
rnacentral:rRNA from 1 species